rnacentral:rRNA from 2 species
AGACCCGAAACCCGGUGAUCUAGCCAUGGGCAGGUUGAAGGUUGGGUAACACUAACUGGAGGACCGAACCGACUAAUGUUGAAAAAUUAGCGGAUGACCUGUGGCUGGGGGUGAAAGGCCAAUCAAACCGGGAGAUAGCUGGUUCUCCCCGAAAGCUAUUUAGGUAGCGCCUCGUGAAUUCAUCUCCGGGGGUAGAGCACUGUUUCGGCUAGGGGGCCAUCCCGGCUUACCAACCCGAUGCAAACUGCGAAUACCGGAGAAUGUUAUCACGGGAGACACACGGCGGGUGCUAACGUCCGUCGUGAAGAGGGAAACAACCCAGACCGCCAGCUAAGGUCCCAAAGUCAUAGUUAAGUGGGAAACGAUGUGGGAAGGCCCAGACAGCCAGGAUGUUGGCUUAGAAGCAGCCAUCAUUUAAAGAAAGCGUAAUAGCUCACUGGUCGAGUCGGCCUGCGCGGAAGAUGUAACGGGGCUAAACUAUGCACCGAAGCUGCGGCAGCGACACUAUGUGUUGUUGGGUAGGGGAGCGUUCUGUAAGCCUGUGAAGGUGUGUCGUGAGGCAUGCUGGAGGUAUCAGAAGUGCGAAUGCUGACAUAAGUAACGAUAAAGCGGGUGAAAAGCCCGCUCGCCGGAAGACCAAGGGUUCCUGUCCAACGUUAAUCGGGGCAGGGUGAGUCGACCCCUAAGGCGAGGCCGAAAGGCGUAGUCGAUGGGAAACGGGUUAAUAUUCCCGUACUUGGUGUUACUGCGAAGGGGGGACGGAGAAGGCUAUGUUGGCCGGGCGACGGUUGUCCCGGUUUAAGCGUGUAGGUGUGUGUUCCAGGUAAAUCCGGUUCACUUUAACACUGAGGCGUGA